rnacentral:rRNA from 1 species
UUAUAUAAAAUAUUUUGAUGAAUAUUUAUAUAAUAUUAACAUAAUUCAUAUUACUAUUUUUUUUAGUAUAUGAAAUUUUACUUUGAGAAAAUUAGAGUGCUUAAAGCAGGCAUAUGCCUUGAAUACUCCAGCAUGGAAUAAUAUUAAAGAUUUUUAUCUUUYUUAUUGGUUCUAAGAUAAGAAUAAUGAUUAAUAGGGACAGUWGGGGGCAUUUGUAUUUAACAGUCAGAGGUGAAAUUCUUAGAUUUGUUAAAGACARACUAAUGCGAAAGCAUUUGCCAAGGAUGUUUUCAUUAAUCAAGAACGAAAGUUAGGGGAUCGAAGACGAUCAGAUACCGUCGUAGUCUUAACCAUAAACUAUGCC